GACAGAGGGUGCAAACGUUGUUCGGAAUUACUGGGCGUAAAGGGCGCGUAGGCGGGAUGGCAAGUCGGUCGUGAAAUCCCUCGGCUCAACCGAGGAACGUCGAUCGAUACUGCUGUUCUUGAGGAUUGCAGAGGAGACUGGAAUUCCCGGUGUAGCGGUGAAAUGUGUAGAGAUCGGGAGGAACACCGGUGGCGAAGGCGGGUCUCUGGGCAAUUCCUGACGCUGAGGCGCGGAAGCGUGGGGAGCAAACGGG
rnacentral:rRNA from 1 species